GAUGAACGCUAGCGGCAGGCCUAACACAUGCAAGUCGAAGGGCAGCACAUAAAGUGGUUUACUACUUUUGGUGGCGACCGGCGGACGGGUGCGUAACGCGUAUGCAACCUGCCUCCAACAGGGGGAUAACGGAGAGAAAUUUCCACUAAUACCCCAUAAUAUCAGAAUCGGCAUCGGUGUUGGUUGAAAACUCCGGUGGUCGGAGAUGGGCAUGCGUUGUAUUAGAUAGUUGGUGAGGUAACGGCUCACCAAGUCAACGAUACAUAGGGGGACUGAGAGGUUAGCCCCCCACACUGGUACUGAGACACGGACCAGACUCCUACGGGAGGCAGCAGUGAGGAAUAUUGGUCAAUGGGGGCAACCCUGAACCAGCCAUGCCGCGUGCAGGAAGACGGCUCUAUGAGUUGUAAACUGCUUUUACAAGGGGAUAAAUCGGUGUACGUGUACACCGUUGAAGGUACCUUGGGAAUAAGGAUCGGCUAACUCCGUGCCAGCCGCCGCAGUAA
rnacentral:rRNA from 1 species